rnacentral:lncRNA from 1 species
AAACAUGACAGCUGACGGACAAUAACAGACUUCGCAGCCUUUCCGACAAACACAAAGGGUUUAUGAAUACAAAAUCCCAUGCUUUAAAGGCCGAGAAGGUAGAAUGGUAGGCUGGUAAUCCUAUACCUCGACAGCUUCCCUGUAAGACAACAUUUAGAUAACAUUCACUAUUAACGUACUACUCGUAAAUGAUUGUAGGCUCCAAAUUCAAAUGUUCUCACCAUUUCAGGUACUCUUCGAUUAUGAAUAUGCUUCCACUAUAUGAGCUUUGAACUAUAAACAAGUGUUUCGUAUCCCAGGACGACGAUGGAGGACCUGCAGCCGAAGUGCGAUGGCAGCUUAAUCGUAUCGCCUCUCUUCGAUCACCACGUACUCCUCCACAACCUCUCCGGGGCGGCGUUGGUGGUGCUG